rnacentral:tRNA from 1 species
GUGGUGUAACGGUUAGCACUCUGGACUCUGAAUCCAGCGAUCGCGGUUCAAAUCCG